AGUCGCACGAGUUCAGACUCGUGGCGAAUAGCUCAGUAACACGUGGCCAAACUACCCUUCGGACCAUCAUACCCUCGGGAAACUGAGGCUAAUAGUGGAUACCACAGUCCACCUGGAAUGAGGACUGUGGCAAACGCUCCGGCGCCGAAGGAUGUGGCUGCGGCCGAUUAGGUAGACGGUGGGGUAACGGCCCACCGUGCCAAUAAUCGGUACGGGUCAUGAGAGUGAGAACCCGGAGACGGAAUCUGAGACAAGAUUCCGGGCCCUACGGGGCGCAGCAGGCGCGAAACCUUUACACUGCACGACAGUGCGAUAAGGGAAUCCCAAGUGCGCAGGCAUAGAGCCUGCGCUUUUGUCCACCGUAGGGAGGUGGACGAAUAAGGGCUGGGCAAGACCGGUGCCAGCCGCCGCGGUAAUACCGGCAGCCCGAGUGAUGGCCGAUCUUAUUGGGCCUAAAGCGUCCGUAGCUGGCCGCGCAAGUCUAUCGGAAAAUCCACCCGCUCAACGGGUGGGCGUCCGGUAGAAACUGCGUGGCUUGGGACCGGAAGGCGCGACGGGUACGUCCGGGGUAGGAGUGAAAUCCCGUAAUCCUGGACGGACCGCCGAUGGCGAAAGCACGUCGCGAAGACGGAUCCGACAGUGAGGGACGAAAGCUAGGGUCUCGAACCGGAUUAGAUACCCGGGUAGUCCUAGCCGUAAACAAUGCCUGCUAGGUGUGGCUCCC
rnacentral:rRNA from 1 species